AUUGCCGCCAGCCGUGCCCCAAUCGUCGAUCAGUGCGGCGGCGAUCAGCAAUCAGCCCGAGCGCCGUGCCAUGUGCUAGUCCCCGUGUGCUCCGAGUGUAAACAAGAAGGUGUCCGAUCCUGCAGGUGAAAGAAAAAGAAGAAAAAAACUUUUUCUUACAAUCCCGGUUUUACCAACAGGAGUGAAGUGUUCUGGAUACUUUGAAUUCUUCUCCAGCUUUCUGCUCAAUUCACGGUUGUUUUUAGUGUACCGCUCUCGAGAAAUAUUACUGUGUAGUGAAAAAUGGUUAGACGAAGAUUGGAAAUAGAGGAUCCGGGGCGAGCAGAGCGGAGGGCUAAAAGGAUGUGUCGAAUCAAAACAGCAGUUGUCAUAUUUGUCAUACUAAUUUUGCUCUUCGUUUAUCUCGGGGUCGCCUACUUCGAUGCUAUCUCAGCGUGGAUAAAAUCGUCAGAUGGAAGUUCAGAGGAGAUCACCCCCUCGGCAUCGGUAGAGCAAUACUUCAAAAAAUUCUCCGUCUGCACGGACGCACCGCCCUGUUCGACAGUUGGCAAGGAUAUCCUGGAGAAGAACGGGUCUGCUGUAGAUGCUGCGAUUGCAUCAAUGUUAUGCAACGGGAUCUACAACGCGCAUAGCACUGGAAUCGGAGGGGUUUCCAAAUGCUCAUUUACAGCAGAGAAACACGGAAUAUCUCUAUUCUCGACGCAAGAGGGUUGCUCCUCUCCUCUCUAAUAAACUAUGUUCGAAAAUCAAACCGGAAAGUCAAGAAGUGGUAUGUAAACAAGCUUCCUCUAACAAAUUGUAGGAUUCACCGACCAUAUUUUCUAGAUAGGUCUUAUCAAUAUUUUAAACGACACUUGUAGUUUAGGAAUCAGAGGAGAUUUUCAAAUCCUUGCACCUUAGCAGAGACACAAGGAUAUAAAUAAUAAUGAUUUGAAUUCAAUGAUAUUUAAAACAAUGUAUUAGCGUGUACAUGAUGUCUCAUUGAGUCGUACAUAUCUAUAUUUUUACACUCUCAUGCAAAACAUGAUCACAAUUAUAGGUAAACUUACUUUUUAGUCUUCGGUCCUGAUUUUUUAGAUUGUUUUAGAUGAUGAUCAUUUCGGACCCACACGUGGGUUCAUCUUCAGUCGAAUCCGCGCCGCGCUACCUUUCCUCAUGAACUGGGCCAAAAUGUGGUCAUUCUGUGAAAUGGGCAACGAUAAAGGUCCUGACUCUGCGAACGGGGCAAGCCAUUUUUGUGAUCACCAGGAAAAAUAAAGACAUGAGAAAAUUUACGAUUAGGAUGAUGGUAAAUGUACAAAAUUCUGCUGAAGUACGGUUUUCUUGAAGUUCAUCAUAUGUCUAUUGAAUAAAUGUCAAUAGGUAUACUUUUGAAAAUUUAUUUCAAUUGAUCAAGUUCCGAAACAAAUUUACACAAAACUAUUGCUAUUGCUAUCUCCGGAAAUAAUUGCUGAAACUUCCGUCAAAUGUAUAAAUUACUUACUUAAGGGCCGUCCAUAAAUUAUGUAAAGCUCUUAGGGUAGCGGGUCCCUCAAAGAAUUACGGUGCCUUACGAGGGGAGGGGGGACUAAGCUUUACGUAAGCUUUCCAGCCUAUAUUUCAAGAAACUGCAAAAAUCCAUUUAUCGUCAGGUUGAUAUUAAAAUUCAAGAUGAAAUAGAGGAAUUCAGCACAUCACCGAUUACUGACUGAUCGGACCAGGCUCCUGUCAUUCCUCUUGAUUCCCACUUCUCCACUCCGUGGGGGUGAUGAGUAGUGACUUCAUCCUUAUAUCAACUUUAUACUUUUAACUAUUCAUAAGAAGAAAAAAAAUCUUCAAUGUUGCUCUACGUAUUUUUGUUUAUUAAUCCAACUGUAUCACUAAUAUUUCCUAUGAACUUACUUCAAUUUAGUUUCACUAAUAAAAAUUGUGGCCUAGAAAUGUCAUUGUUUUUCUAAAAGAAAACAUAAUGCUUCAAUCUGCAGUUGAAAAGGGGGGGGGGGGGAUCAGUCGAACCUUACAUAAUUUUUAGAGGGAGGAGGGUAUACAGGAUGCCAUACGGUACCUUACGAGGGGAGAGGGCCGGAGAGGGUCUAAUAAUGGGAAAAGUGCCUUACAUAUAUUUUUGGAUGGCCCCUUACAGUAAUUACGAAUUUUUACACGAAAUUUUCAAGUGGUACGUCGAAUUACAUUUGCGUUUAUUUUUAAGGAACUUACAACAUUUAGUUUUGCAGUCCAAUUUCCGAUAGUUGCUUUGGUGAUAACAACCCUCUGUUGCAUCUUUAGGUGCUCUUGCAAGUGGAGUUCCCGGAGAGAUGGCUGGCUAUUGGGAAGCAUGGAGUAGUUUCGGGAAACUGAAAUGGGCCGAAUUGUUUGCUCCGGCUUUGGAAAUGUGUAAAACAGGUUACAAGAUCUCUCAAAGCCAAGUCAACGCGUUCACUUUCAAUGAAACGUCAUUCAGAAGAAUGUUUUCCUCGUGUAAGUUGACAUUCUAGCUUA
rnacentral:lncRNA from 1 species